rnacentral:rRNA from 1 species
AGCUACCAUGCAGUCGAGCGGUAGAGAGAAGCUUGCUUCUCUUGAGAGCGGCGGACGGGUGAGUAAUGCCUAGGAAUCUGCCUGGUAGUGGGGGAUAACGUUCGGAAACGGACGCUAAUACCGCAUACGUCCUACGGGAGAAAGCAGGGGACCUUCGGGCCUUGCGCUAUCAGAUGAGCCUAGGUCGGAUUAGCUAGUUGGUGAGGUAAUGGCUCACCAAGGCGACGAUCCGUAACUGGUCUGAGAGGAUGAUCAGUCACACUGGAACUGAGACACGGUCCAGACUCCUACGGGAGGCAGCAGUGGGGAAUAUUGGACAAUGGGCGAAAGCCUGAUCCAGCCAUGCCGCGUGUGUGAAGAAGGUCUUCGGAUUGUAAAGCACUUUAAGUUGGGAGGAAGGGUUGUAGAUUAAUACUCUGCAAUUUUGACGUUACCGACAGAAUAAGCACCGGCUAACUCUGUGCCAGCAGCCGCGGUAAUACAGAGGGUGCAAGCGUUAAUCGGAAUUACUGGGCGUAAAGCGCGCGUAGGUGGUUUGUUAAGUUGGAUGUGAAAUCCCCGGGCUCAACCUGGGAACUGCAUUCAAAACUGACUGACUAGAGUAUGGUAGAGGGUGGUGGAAUUUCCUGU